GACAGAAGAUGGCGGAUGAGCAGCGUGCAGGGUUUUCUCCCUGUGGCUCACUCUCUCUUACUGUGCUGGGCGGUUGCUUCCUCUCCUGCUGCCCUUGGGAGUCAGACUCCAGGUUCUUCAGCCUGUGGCCCCUGGGGCUCUCGGGCCUUGGAGGACUGACUAGGAGCACACGGUGGGCCUCUCUGGUUUGGGGGCCUGGGACGUGGCGGAGCCCUGCAGCUUCUGUGCGGCCUGUUCUGGGCGUCGCGUUGAAACGCCAGCCAGUUCCCCAACAGAAAGAGCAUACGGGAGAGAUGAAGCAGUCCACUCCAAGAACAUUCUCAUCCUACGGAUUACGAGUCCCCCUGGGAUUACAGGAGUGUUGAAGAAAUGUUGUGACACAUCAGAACACCGCGAAAUACAUGGACACUUUCAAAUCAUGGAAGACUCAAGGUGCCAAGAGAUAAAAUUCCUUUAUUGCCCUUGAUUUUGUCACCCCCUAUUGUUUCGGGGCUCCCUAUGAAGCUGUUUGUCAGGCCGAGUCUGAUUACUACGGGCGUAACCCCCGGAUGCACUGGAGCACUGGUGCAGUGAUGGGUCAGGAGGGCAUCUUUCUCGGCUCUUCACUGUGAGAACCUUGUGGGAUUCCUGAAGAUGAAACCAUGAACGCGAGGGAGUCUUGCUAAAACUGCAGCAUUCGAGAGGUUUUCACUCAUGCUGGCUCACACUUGUCCUCUAGCAAUUCAUCAAAAUUACCACGUAAGUGUUUCAACAGUUUAUGGCUCAGGUGGCCUCAGCUGUGAUGCUCCAAAUUUGCCUGUUUCUCCAGAUGCAGGGUAGCAGUUUGCUGUUUCUCCUGAGUUCUUUGAUGGAUUCAAGAAAAGUCAUGAUUUUCAGUUUGUUCUGAUUUUUUCUUGUGAGGGCAAAGUAAUGACUAAGCUUUAAUGUGUUUCAGCUAAAACUACAUGUAUUUUAAUAGCAAAAUGAGAUAUAAUUCACAUGUCAUAAAAGUCACCAUUUUUGGGUGCACAACUCAUUGGAUUUUAGUAUAUUCCAGGGUUAUGCAAGAAUAAAUAUUCUCUAAUUUUGGAACAUAUUUAUCUACUCAGAAAGAAACUUUGUGCUCAUUAACAGUUACUUAAUAUUCUCUCUCCCCUAACCUAUGGUAACUACUAGUCGACUUGCUAUAGAUUAGGUUACUUUGGAUAUUUCAUAUAUGUUGAAUCAUAAAAUAUGUGCCUUGGCUUCUUUCACUUACCGUAAUAUUUACAAAAUUCAUUCAUCUUACAAAGUACUUCAUUCUAUUUUUGAUUUUAUGGGUUAAUAAUAUUCUACUGUCUGGCUAUAUACAUGUAUGAAUAAUGUGGCAACAUUUUGUCCAUACACUCAUCAUGUGAUUAGUAUUUGCUUUGUUGUUGUUGUGUGUUUUUUAUUUUUCAGUUAUUAUGAAUAAUGAUUAUGAAUUCAGUUAUUAUGAAUAACUACAAUAAAUAGUUAUGC
ensembl:lncRNA LINC01446 long intergenic non-protein coding RNA 1446